GACGAACGCUGGCGGCGCGCCUAACACAUGCAAGUCGAGCGAUGAAAUUUCGACAGAUCUCCUUCUGGGGUGAAGAUGAAAUGGAUUAGCGGCGGACGGGUGAGUAACACGUGAGUAACCUGCCUUUGACAUUGGGAUAGCCUCGGGAAACUGGGAUUAAUACCAAAUGACACUAACUGAUCACAUGAUUAAUUAGUCCAAGAAAUUCGGUCAAAGAUGGACUCGCGGCUGAUUAGCUUGUUGGUGAGGUAACGGCCCACCAAGGCGACGAUUAGUAGCCGGCCUGAGAGGGUGAUCGGCCACAUUGGAACUGAGACACGGUCCAAACUUCUACGGGAGGCAGCAGUGGGGAAUAUUGCACAAUGGGGGAAACCCUGAUGCAGCGACGCCGCGUGAGCGAAGAAAGCCUUUGGGUCGUAAAGCUCUUUUUUGAGGGAAGAUUAUGACUGUUCCUCUAGAAAAAGCCCCGGCUAACUACGUGCCAGCAGCCGCGGUAAUUCGUAGGGGGCUUGCGUUGUCCGGAAUUACUUGGCGUUAAGGGUUCGCAGCGGAAUAACAAGUCAGAUGUGAAAGGCAUGGGCUCAACUCAUGUAAGCAUUUGAAACUGUAAUUCUUGAGAAGUGGAGAGGUAAGUGGAAUUCCUAGUGUAGCGGUGAAAUGCGUAGAUAUUAGGAGGAAUACCUGUGGCGAAGGCGACUUACUGGACACAAAUCUGACGCUGAGGAACGAAAGCGUGGGUAGCAAACAGGAUUAGAUACCCUGGUAGUCCACGCCGUAAACGAUGAGUGCUAGGUGUCGGGGGAGACCUCGGUGCCGGCGUUAACACAAUAAGCACUCCGCCUGGGGAGUACGUGCGCAAGCAUGAAACUCAAAGGAAUUGACGGGGACCCGCACAAGCAGCGGAGCAUGUGGUUUAAUUCGACGCAACGCGAAGAACCUUACCAGGGCUUGACAUACUGAGGGCGUACUUAGAGAUAAGUAUUCUCCUUCGGGAGCCUCAAUACAGGUGGUGCAUGGUUGUCGUCAGCUCGUGUCGUGGGAUGUUCAGUUAAGUCUGGCAACGAGCGCAACCCUUACCUUUAGUUACCAGCAUUACGGAUGGGGACUCUAAAGGGACUGCCGAUGAUAAAUCGGAGGAAGGUGGGGAUGACGUCAAAUCAUCAUGCCCUAUAUGCCCUGGGCUACACACGUGCUACAAUGGUCGGAACAGAGGGAAGCAACAGAGCGAUCUCAAGCAAAUCUCAUAAAUCCGAUCCUAGUUCGGAUUGCACUCUGCAACUCGAGUGCAUGAAGUCGGAGUUGCUAGUAAUCGCAGAUCAGCAUGCUGCGGUGAAUGCGUUCCCGGGUCU
rnacentral:rRNA from 1 species